AUUGAACGCUGGCGGCAGGCCUAACACAUGCAUGUCGAACGGUAACAGGAAGAAGCUUGCUUCUUUGCUGACGAGUGGCGGACGGGUGAGUAAUGUCUGGGAAACUGCCUGAUGGAGGGGGAUAACUACUGGGAACGGUAGCUAAUACCGCAUAACGUCGCAAGACCAAAAAGGGGGACCUUCGGGCCUCUUGCCAUCGGAUGUGCCCAGAUGGGAUUAGCUAGUAGGUGGGGUAACGGCUCACCUAGGCGACGAUCCCUAGCUGGUCUGAGAGGAUGACCAGCCACACUGGAACUGAGACACGGUCCAGACUCCUACGGGAGGCAGCAGUGGGGAAUAUUGCACAAUGGGCGCAAGCCUGAUGCAGCCAUGCCGCGUGUAUGAAGAAGGCCUUCGGGUUGUAAAGUACUUUCAGCGGGGAGGAAGGGAGUAAAGUUAAUACCUUUGCUCAUUGACGUUACCCGCAGAAGAAGCACCGGCUAACUCCGUG
rnacentral:rRNA from 1 species